rnacentral:rRNA from 1 species
UACGGGGGGGGGCAAGCGUUGUUCGGAAUUACUGGGCGUAAAGGGCUCGUAGGUGGUCAACUAAGUCGGACGUGAAAUCCCUCGGCUUAACCGGGGAACUGCGUCCGAUACUGGAUGACUUGAGUUCGGGAGAGGGAUGCGGAAUUCCAGGUGUAGCGGUGAAAUGCGUAGAUAUCUGGAGGAAUACCGGUGGCGAAGGCGGCAUCCUGGACCGGCAUUGACGCUGAGGAGCGAAAGCUAGGGGAGCAAACGGG